rnacentral:rRNA from 1 species
AGAGUUUGAUCAUGGCUCAGAACGUACGCUGGCGGCACGCCUAACACAUGCAAGUCGAACGCAGUAGCAAUACUGAGUGGCAGACGGGUGAGUAUAAUGUGGGAAUCUGCCUUUUGGUUUGGAAUAACACGAGGAAACUUGUGCUAAUACCGGAUAAGCCUUCACAGGGAAAGUUUUAACGCCAAAAGAUGAGCCCGCACUUGAUUAGCUAGUUGGUAAGGUAAUGGCUUACCAAGGCAACGAUCAAUAGCUGUUCUUAGAGGAAGAUCAGCCACAUUGGGACUGAGACACGGCCCAAACUCCUACGGGAGGCAGCAGUGGGGAAUCUUGCACAAUGGGGGCAACCCUGAUGCAGCGAUGCCGCGUGAGUGAAGAAGGCCUUUGGGUUGUAAAACUCUUUCGUCGGGGAAGAAAAUGACUGUACCCGAAUAAGAAGGUCCGGCUAACUUCGUGCCAGCAGCCGCGGUAAUACGAAGGGACCUAGCGUAGUUCGGAAUUACUGGGCUUAAAGAGUUCGUAGGUGGUUAAAAUAGUUGAUGGUGAAAUCCCAAGGCUCAACCUUGGAACUGCCAUCAAAACUUUUUAGCUAGAGUAUGAUAGAGGAAAGUGGAACUUCUAGUGUAGAGGUGAAAUUCGUAGAUAUUAGAAAGAACAUCAAAAGCGAAGGCAACUUUCUGGAUCAUUACUGACACUGAGGAACGAAAGCAUGGGUAGCGAAGAGGAUUAGAUACCCUCGUAGUCCAUGCUGUAAACGAUGUGUGCUAGACGUUGGAAACUUAGUUUUCAGUGUCGCAGAGAAAUCAUUA